CCUACGGGGGACAGCAGUGAGGAAUAUUGGUCAAUGGACGCAAGUCUGAACCAGCCACGCCGCGUGCAGGAAGACGGCUCUAUGAGUUGUAAACCGCUUUUGUACGAGGGUAAACGCAGAUACGCGUCUCUGUCUGAAAGUAUCGUACGAAUAAGGAUCGGCCAACUCCGUGCCAGCAGCCGCGGUAAUACGGAGGAUUCAAGCGUUAUCCGGAUUUAUUGGGUUUAAAGGGUGCGUAGGCGGUCGGAUAAGUUAGAGGUGAAAUCCCGAGGCUCAACUUCGGAAUUGCAUCGGAUACUGGUCGGCUAGAGAGUAGAAGCGGUAGGCGGAAUGCAUGGUGUAGCGGUGAAAUGCGUAGAGAUCAUACAGAACACCGAUUGCGAAGGCAGCUUACCAAGCUACAUCUGACGUUGAGGCACGAAAGCGUGGGGAGCAAACAGGAUUAGAUACCCCGGUAGUC
rnacentral:rRNA from 1 species